rfam:Candida glabrata strain CBS138 chromosome D complete sequence.
UCCUUGUUAGCUCAGUUGGUAGAGCGUUCGGCUUUUACGUCAACGAGGACAACCGAAAUGUCAGGGGUUCGAGCCCCCUAUGAGGAG